CGGCGAGUGAAGCGGCAAAAGCUCAAAUUUGAAAUCUGGCACCUUCGGUGUCCGAGUUGUAAUUUGAAGAAGGUAACUUUGGGAUUGGCUCUUGUCUAAGUUCCUUGGAACAGGACGUCACAGAGGGUGAGAAUCCCGUGCGAUGAGAUGACCAAUCCUAUGUAAAGUGCUUUCGAAGAGUCGAGUUGUUUGGGAAUGCAGCUCUAAGUGGGUGGUAAAUUCCAUCUAAAGCUAAAUAUUGGCGAGAGACCGAUAGCGAACAAGUACAGUGAUGGAAAGAUGAAAAGAACUUUGAAAAGAGAGUGAAAAAGUACGUGAAAUUGUUGAAAGGGAAGGGCUUGAGAUCAGACUUGGUAUUUUGCAUUCCUUACCUUCGUGGUGGGGUUCCUUGCAGUUUACUGGGCCAGCAUCGGUUUGGAUGGUGGGAUAAUGACAUUGGAAUGUGGCUCUGCUUCGGUAGAGUGUUAUAGCCAGUGUUGAUACCGCCUGUCUAGACCGAGGACUGCGUCUUUGACUAGGAUGCUGGCAUAAUGAUCUUAAGUCGC
rnacentral:rRNA from 1 species